CGAGCCUUUGCCACCUGUGCCCGAACAAAGGCUGGAAAAUGUCCAUCCGGUCGUGGAACCGAAGCUGUUUGAAGUGAUUGAUGGCCAGGUGCACCUUAGCCCAGGUGUCUCCAUACCAGAGCCAAAAUUCAACUUGGCGCUAUUGGCCAAAACUGACUCAAAAUGUGUUAUUGGAGCGUCCCGGUCCCUCUGGACAGAUGAUGAACUGGCGUCAAGAAGCGUCACCGGAACAGCUUGUCGGAACAAGCCAGGCUCCAAGGCCAAAAAAGAAGCG